rnacentral:misc_RNA from 1 species
GAUGAAGAACGUAGCGAAAUGCGAUAAGUAAUGUGAAUUGCAGAAUUCAGUGAAUCAUCGAAUCUUUGAACGCACAUUGCGCCCGCCAGCAUUCUGGCGGGCAUGCCUGUACGAGCGUCAUUUCAACCCUCGAGCCCCCCCCGGGGGCCUCGGUGUUGGGGGACGGCACACCAGCCGCCCCCGAAAUGCAGUGGCGACCCCGCCGCAGCCUCCCCUGCGUAGUAGCACACACCUCGCACCGGAGCGCGGAGGCGGUCACGCCGUAAAACGCCCAACUUUCUUAGAGUUGACCUCGGAUCAGGUAGGAAUACCCGCUGAACUUAAGCAUAUCAAUAAGCGGAGGA